GUGGGGAAUAUUGGGCAAUGGGCGCAAGCCUGACCCAGCAACGCCGCGUGAGGGAAGAAGGUCUUCGGAUUGUAAACCUCUGUCCUUGGGGACGAAAAAAAUGACGGUACCCGAGGAGGAAGCUCCGGCUAACUACGUGCCAGCAGCCGCGGUAAUACGUAGGGAGCGAGCGUUGUCCGGAAUUACUGGGCGUAAAGGGUGCGUAGGCGGCAGGCCAAGUCAGAUGUGAAAUCCCCGGGCUUAACUCGGGUGGUGCAUUUGAAACUGGUCUGCUUGAGUGCAGGAGAGGAAAGCGGAAUUCCUAGUGUAGCGGUGAAAUGCGUAGAUAUUAGGAGGAACACCAGUGGCGAAGGCGGCUUUCUGGACUGUAACUGACGCUGAGGCACGAAAGCGUGGGGAGCAAACAGGAUUAGAUACCCGAGUAGUCC
rnacentral:rRNA from 1 species